rnacentral:rRNA from 1 species
GUGCCAGCCGCCGCGGUAAUACGGAGGAUGCGAGCGUUAUCCGGAUUCAUUGGGUUUAAAGGGUGCGUAGGCGGACUAUUAAGUCAGUGGUGAAAUCCUGCAGCUUAACUGCAGAACUGCCGUUGAUACUGAUAGUCUUGAGUUUGGUUAAGGUAGGCGGAAUGUGUAAUGUAGCGGUGAAAUGCUUAGAUAUUACACAGAACACCGAUUGCGUAGGCAGCUUACUGAGCCGACACUGACGCUGAGGCACGAAAGCGUGGGGAUCGAACAGGAUUAGAAACCCCUGUAGUCC